rnacentral:rRNA from 1 species
AGGACGAACGCUGGCGGCGUGCUUAACACAUGCAAGUCGAGCGGUGAUCCUCCUUCGGGAGGUGAUCGGCGGCGAACGGGUGAGUAACACGUGGGCAACCUGCCCCUCACACUGGGAUAACCUCGGGAAACCGGGGCUAAUACCGGAUACGACCUCGAGCGGCAUCUCUUGAGGUGGAAAGCUCCGACGGUGAGGGAUGGGCCCGCGGCCUAUCAGCUUGUUGGUGGGGUAAUGGCCUACCAAGGCGACGACGGGUAGCC